rnacentral:lncRNA from 1 species
CCUUUCGACGGGAUCUUCCCAUAGAAUCUGUUGUUGCCCAUCUCUAAUCUGGUAAAAUUCUUAGUAAACUCAUCUGGAAGCUCACCGGAGAGAUUGUUGGCGUGCAACAGAGCAAUUUCGAGGGUUGGCACCUCCCAUAUUUCCACUGGGAAGGUUCCAGAAAAGUUGUUUUCGUAAAGUUGUAUAUUCACCAGAGACGAGCAAUUUCCAAGGCUCUUCGGAACGGUCCCGUUCAUUUUGUUCUCGAACACAAUAAGGGAGUUAAGAACACCACCGGCACAAAGAUCAGGCGGUAAUCCACCCGUGAGUUGGUUCUCGGAAACUUCAAAAUUCCA